UCUUUAAAUAUUACGUGGCUGAGAUCAAACAUGUCAAAUGACAGACAUAACUUGAAUAUAUAUAUAGGUUUUAACAAACUUACAGUUAAAUUGCAUACACACAUUAACAGAAUAGGAAUACAGAUACAUAACAAAGGCAGACUUACAAUUACUAGUUAUGUCUAAUGAAAUUAAGAAAACCAGUUAGAUAGGUCAGGCAUCUGUAAAAACUUAUUGACAAUAUGAUGAAUAUCAUCUAAUUGAUUUUGGGUAGUUUGAGAAAAAUCAGACAAAUUGAAAUAGCACAUUCUUGGAAACUGUUAAUAUCCUUCAUGUUCUUUUAACAGCAGACAGUCUAUAGUAGCGCGAUUCCAAAGUACCGCAACUCGCACUUCUCUCAGUUCUUGGUUGAGUUCAGAUAAUAUAUAAGCAGUCAAAUUUGUUGUUUUGCUAUAUGUGCAGGCCAGCUUAGAUAUCUCCUUUAGCAUUCCAACAAGUCCAGGAACCUGCAGAGGAAUGCAGCUGCAACUGCAAUAGUGGCAGGAUCUGAAAGUUUCAAGUUUUCAUCAUAGUCAGAUGGCAGAGCUCAGAGAAGUCUAUUGGGCUUAUAUCUUGGAUGAUUUAUUAUGGCAGGAAGAAUGAGUCCCACACGACAAACACCUCGAUAGUGUGAAGAAAGGGCUUAAUAUGUUUUGUUAUCACACAAAAAUACCCAACCAUUUGGAAGUCUAUAUCUAGAAGACCAUUUUACAUUGAUGGUACAGUUACAGUAAGAGGCUAAUGAGUACAAUUAAUACAUACACAAUCAAUAAUUAUAGUAGUACUAACAGGUAAAUUUAAUUGGGCAUCAGGAGCAAGCACUUUACGGGGAAGAGUGAUGUUUAUGCCUGAUGUAUUAGUAAACACCGUAAGAGGAAGUCUUGUGCCUGUUAAAUUCUUCUUCAACAGUCCACUGAUAGAGGAAUUUCUUGCUACACAAAAAGAUGACCUGUGCAACCCUUGGCUCACGAGUUGUUAUACUAUUAUUUAGUGGGCUUCAGUUUUCCAUGUCUGACGUGCAGACUUUUGUUGAGGUUUUUUGAUGGUCACCUUCUGGAAUGAUUCUUCUAGAGGAUGUUGAUGUUGGAA